rnacentral:lncRNA from 1 species
GAGCCGUUAGAUCGUCGACGUGUUUCUGUUUACGCAUCCUUGAUCUACGUGCAGAUUCACGGUUCGAUAGCAUUCUCUUACGCUUUCGGUCGUCGACGGCGACGGCGGAGCCAGAUGGGUUUCCGCCGUCGGAAGAGCUAGAGCUCCGGUAUGUGCUGCUAGAUGACGCCAUUUUAUUCAGCCGAAAAAUGGUUUAACAAAGAAAAUUAUUACAAGAACUAAAAAAAAGGACAGCUUUGGUUUUUGAUGGUUUCUUAGAUUUGUCUGAAAAGAAAUAAAUAUAUAUAUUUUUUUAAAUUAAGGAUUAGCUUUGGGAGUUUUCAACAAUUCAUGAAACGUUGUAAAACCAGUAGAGAAAGACGACGGAGAAAGAUUGAACGAGAUGGGUUCUGCGGCAGAGAGCAGAUUUAACCGUGAGCCCAGAGAGCAAGAUUUCGCAGAGAACGGGAGU